GUCAACUGGGGGUGUGGGUGUAGUGCCAGCGAAGUCUUGCGUGUAUUAAGCCUCCCUUGCAUUUCACGUCAAGGCAAGCCUCCCACAUCUGAGAAGCAGAGUAUAUGCCCUAGAGUGCAGCUGCAUGAUGAUACACUCCCUGGAUGUACAGUUAUCACAAAAGGAAUUACGAGAGAAACAAUGACUUAGAUGAGCACAGUAGAAAAUGCAAGCAGGAUUUCCUGAGUGGUGGAAAGGGAAAGUCUCUUCCUCUGGUGAACCCAAGCACCCGCUGGCAGGGGGAGAUGAGGAGGGAGCUGUGGUCACCGAGAGGGGAGCUGGGGAGAUGUCUGCCAGAGGUACAGGGGAGCUUCAUGAACACAACACUACUGAAUGAUCCUGCAGGAAUCCUGGGGUCGGCGUACAGAUGCUGGCUCUGACCUUCCUCCAGAAGAGAAAUUCCCAGGCUUUUGUACAAUGCUGAGUGCACCUUACCAUGACUGCAUAUAGCCUACAG
rnacentral:lncRNA from 1 species